CCAGACUGUUAAUUCUCUCUUUGAAUGCCAUUGAAUGCAAGUGGGAAUUUAGUAGGAAAACCCACUCAGUGAAAAGUCAGUGGGAAAUGGAAUGGAAGGAAGAUGUGUUCCCAUCGUGGAAAGCUGGAGGUAAAGUGGCAGGAAUGACCAGAUAUUGCUGAAUCAGCCCAGAUGCUAAGAACUCUAGAAAAUAAAUCCUUUCAGGGCCUGAGAAUCAAGAUGGCAUCCUUCUCCUAAGACACAGUUAUAAACUGCCUGGGAAAAACAAAAUUUUAUUGUGUGGUAGGACAGUAAGCCAUCCAUCAAGUAAAUCAACAUCAAAAAAAUA